UGGGGAACUGAACUCAGAACUGCCGCUUUCGUCCUCUGAGGCUUCUCCUUCUCGGCCUCUCUCUCUCUCUCUCUCUCUCUCUCUUCACCAAUAUUACUUCAGCUUCUGAAGGCUUUUCGAUUUCAGAUAAAGCUAUGGAAGCCGACGAGGCCGACCGUGUCUUUCCAUUUCAGCUCCAAUUCGACAAGCAUAUUGCCUCUCAGGUUAAAAUUGCCGAGUGGAAACCGGAAAGGAUUUGCUAGCCAUGGUCACAGAAGACUUGCGAGUUUUGCUCCACCGUGGCGGAGGUUGCGGACUAUAUCACCUGGUGAGUUUUUCAAAGAAGCUUUUCUUAUGCCCUUAAGUACAAUCUCAAGGACAAUACUUUGUGAAGAUCUGUUGUCCCUAUUCCCCUUUUAAUCUUCGUGGCAAGCUGCUCUCGUCUUCCAGUGUUCUUCUUUCAGUGUCGUACUAUGAGGAAUCCUCUGAAGCUGUCUCCGCGGAUCAAAGUUGUCAGCGGAAGUUCACGGAUUUAUAUCUUUCAAAGUCCCAGAUGAUUCUUUUGUAGAAAUUGCAAAUUGUGUAGGCAUAUCCAGGGGAUCUUUUUCAUGAUCAGAGCUGCUCAAACGGAGAUUACUCUUCAAUUGAAGCAGCCUUGGUAUCUAUUCCCGAUGAUUCUCAUUUGUUGUGCCGUAAUGCCACAACCUUUAAUGCUCUAAUAUCAAUUGUUGUAGCGGAAACAGAAGCAGAAGCAAGAUUGAUUGCACUCAUACACCUACAAAUAGAAAUUAAACAAAGAGACACAAACACAAAGACAACUUACAACACUGUCUUUGUACAAGGUCCAGCAAUUUUUUUUUUCUCUGCAUACUCAUUGUGGAAAUGGAAAGUAAAAGAUUGACAGAAAUCCUGUGAUUAAUUAGUGGACCUAUAUGGUUGUGAACAGAAUGGACAGAUUGUUUUGUUAUGAAAUGAAAUUGCUUCUACUUCUGAAAGCUCUUUUGGUUCCUGUAUGAUGGUUGUGCAAGCAGAUGACCUUACGUUUGUUUCUAUGCCAAGAUCUCCGUCUGGACAGUUGGAAGGCUCAUCAACUCAAG